rnacentral:lncRNA from 10 species
AUCACUUCCCUUAUGGCUACAAAAGAGGGGAGAAUGGGGAAACAUGGAAAUCAAAAAGCAUCCCUGUAUUAUCUAUUCUCAUACUGCUAACAAAGACAUACUUGAGACUGGUUCCCUAUAUCCCAGGAUGAUGAAGACCCCUCUUUCUCCCUCUGUAUACCAAGAAGUUUAAGUAUCAGCAACACACCAAGGGAAAAUAGCAAACAGACUUCUGUUUGGACAUGAAAUUGAACAAAGAGCUCACACCAGUCAGAGCCAGUUUGAACCAGUCUGCACGGCUCUGAAAUCUGCCGGACCUCCCUCUGAAGCUGGCACAAAGACACGAAGAACAUCAUUGACUUCAAUCUUUGGCCUUCUAACCAGGAAAGGACUUGUGAAGGUGAAUGGUUUGCAGACGAAGGGGAUAUAAAAGAGACAAAACCAGGAUAAAAAUUAAAUAAAAAGUAGCUGUCUUAAACUGUA